GACGAACGCUGGCGGCGUGCCUAAUACAUGCAAGUUGAGCGCUGAAGGUUGGUACUUGUACCAACUGGAUGAGCAGCGAACGGGUGAGUAACGCGUGGGGAAUCUGCCUUUGAGCGGGGGACAACAUUUGGAAACGAAUGCUAAUACCGCAUAAAAACUUUAAACACAAGUUUUAAGUUUGAAAGAUGCAAUUGCAUCACUCAAAGAUGAUCCCGCGUUGUAUUAGCUAGUUGGUGAGGUAAAGGCUCACCAAGGCGAUGAUACAUAGCCGACCUGAGAGGGUGAUCGGCCACAUUGGGACUGAGACACGGCCCAAACUCCUACGGGAGGCAGCAGUAGGGAAUCUUCGGCAAUGGACGAAAGUCUGACCGAGCAGCGCCGCGGGAGUGAAGAAGGUUGUCGGAUCGUAAAACUCGGUUGGUAGAGAAGAACGUUGGUGAGAGUGGAAAGCUCAUCAAGUGACGGUAACUACCCAGAAAGGGACGGCUAACUACGUG
rnacentral:rRNA from 1 species